CGAGGGGCCACGCUGCCCAGGGGGCAGGCACUGCUCACACAGCGCUCCCGCAGACAAAGGGGACGGGGCCGAUUCUGCCACAAAGCACUAGGAGACAAAAGGGCGAUGGGAUCAGAGAGGAACGCGAAAGAAAGGGGGCUUUUUUCAAGAUCACAGAACAGAAUGCUGUUUCACAUCAGGAUCGCUGCUUCAUCAAUACAGAUGUAAAUCACAGCCAAGCCAGCAGGAAAGGAAGGAGCCCGGAGAUAGAGUGCAGCCCCUCCCAAGCGCCUUUCUGUCUGGGAGGAACUCGAGAUCCAAACAUCGAGCGUUCCAGUCUGGCACACCGAAUGACACAGAGCUAUCAGCUGUGGUACAAGUGAAAUGCUUUGGUGAAUCACUUGGACGGUGCCCGAGGCUGCUAAUAGUUCGGUCACAUCCUAUUGUUACAUUAGCAGCCCUGGAAACAAAACAGCCUGAAACCUCUCCAGGAUAAAAAAAAAACGUAAUAAAUUAAUUCGGUGCAGAUCUCCUAAAAGCAA